CGGGCCCGGAGCGGAGCGAGUGGCGACCGCGGCGGCGGCGGCGGCGGCUCCUCCUCGUUGUUCUUUUGCGGGGCUCGGCGGUUUUAAUAGCUAGUCCUUUGGUCAUCCUUGCCGACUUUCUCUGAGGUUGUGUGCAUUUGUCUGCAUCCUUGACAAAAAAUGGUCCCCAGAACUGGGCCCAGGAGUUCAAGUGGAAACAGAGUGAGAUUUAUAUCCACUCUUUUUUCAAGGAGUUCAAGAUGAUUACAUCUCCAUUUCAUCCCCUGAAUACAACCCUGUGUUUUAUGUUGAUCUGAGAGAGUGGAAGUAGCCCAAAGCUAGCUGAAGUUCAACUUAAACCUGGGUGUCCUCAGUCACAGUCCAACACCUUAACAACUGACUUUCACUUUGUUGGAAGAAACAUCCUUCUAGGUUCUACUCCAAGUGGGGAAAACAGACACUGGAAACAUGGAGACUGCUUGGAAAGAUGGUUUAAUGGUGGACAGGAUCACAUGGCUUGAGUUCCUGAACAGAAA